GAUAUGUUGGUUCAAGCCUGUAGUCGUGCCUGGUAGGUAAAUCCGCCGGGCUUAGAUGAGGGGUGAUAACGAGUCUGCUUGCAGACGAAGUGAGUGAUACCCUGCUUCCAGGAAAAGCCACUAAGCUUCAGCUACACACGACCGUACCGCAAACCGACACUGGUGCGCGAGAUGAGUAUUCUAAGGCGCUUGAGAGAACUCAGGAGAAGGAACUCGGCAAAUUGACACCGUAACUUCGGAAGAAGGUGUGCCUUUAGUAGGUGAAGUCCCUGCGGAUGGAGCCCAAUGAGGUUGCAAAAAAUCGGUGGCUGCGACUGUUUAAUAAAAACACAGCACUCUGCGAACACGAAAGUGGACGUAUAGGGUGUGACGCCUGCCCGUCGCUGGAAGAUUAAAUGAUGGGGUGCAAGCUCUUGAUUGAAGUCCCAGUAAACGGCGGCCGUAACAAUAACGGUCCUAAGGUAGCGAAAUUCCUUGUCGGGUAAGUUCCGACCUGCACGAAUGGCGUAACGAUGGCCACACUGUCUCCUCCUGAGACUCAGCGAAGUUGAAAUGUUUGUGAUGAUGCAAUCUCCCCGCGGAAAGACGGAAAGACCCCAUGAACCUUUACUGUAGCUUUGUAUUGGACUUUGAACAGAUCUGUGUAGGAUAGGUGGGAGGCUUUGAAGCAGGGUCGCUAGAUCUUGUGGAGCCAACGUUGAAAUACCACCCUGGUGUGUUUGGGGUUCUAACCUAGGUCCAUUAUCUGGAUCGGGGACAGUGCAUGGUAGGCAGUUUGACUGGGGCGGUCUCCUCCCAAAGUGUAACGGAGGAGUUCGAAGGUACGCUAGGUACGGUCGGACAUCGUGCUAAUAGUGCAAUGGCAUAAGCGUGCUUAACUGCGAGACUGACAAGUCGAGCAGAUGCGAAAGCAGGACAUAGUGAUCCGGUGGUUCUGUAUGGAAGGGCCAUCGCUCAACGGAUAAAAGGUACUCUGGGGAUAACAGGCUGAUACCGCCCAAGGGUUCAUAUCGACGGCGGUGUUUGGCACCUCGAUGUCGGCUCAUCUCAUCCUGGGGCUGUAGCCGGUCCCAAGGGUAUGGCUGUUCGCCAUUUAAAGAGGUACGUGAGCUGGGUUUAAGACGUCGUGAGACAGUUUGGUCCCUAUCUUCCGUGGGCGCUGCAGAUUUGAGGAAGCCUGCUCCUAGUACGAGAGGACCGGAGUGGACGCACCUCUGGUGUAUCGGUUGUCACGCCAGUGGCAUUGCCGAGUAGCUAAGUGUGGAAGAGAUAACCGCUGAAAGCAUCUAAGCGGGAAACUCGUUUCAAGAUGAGACCUGCCGGGGCCUUGAGCCCCCUAAAGAGUCGUUCAAGACCAGGACGUUGAUAGGUCAGGUGUGGAAGCGCAGUAAUGCGUUAAGCUAACUGAUACUAAUUGCUCGUGUGGCUUGACC
rnacentral:rRNA from 1 species